UCCGUAGGAUGCAAGCGUUGUCCGGAUUUAUUGGGUUUAAAGGGUGCGUAGGCGGCCUAUUAAGUUAGUGGUAAAAACGUUCGGUUGAACCGGAUACCCGCCAUUGAUACUGAUAGACUUGAGUGCGACAGAGGGUGUUGGAAUGUGUGGUGUAGCGGUGAAAUGCUUAGAUAUCACGCAGAACACCAAUUGCGAAGGCAGAUGCCUAUGUCGUAACUGACGCUGAGGCACGAAAGCGUGGGGAGAAAACAGG
rnacentral:rRNA from 1 species